UUGAAAGGGAAACGAUUGAAGUCAGUCGGACCCGCGGGAAAUCAACCUUUCGAGUGGGGGUUUUGGAGUUUUGAAGAGUGUCAAAACCUUUGAGAUUUCAAAAUUUUCGCUCCUUUGGUGUACUUUCUCGUGGGUAGGUUAACAUCGAUUUCGAUCAUCAUAAAAGGAUUGGAGGAAUGUAGCUUCGAUCUUGUAUUGAAGUGUUAUAGCCUUUGGUAAAUGUGAUGAUUGGGAUCGAGGAUUGCAACGAAUACCCUUUUGGGCUAUCCGCCUGAUCUCUGAUACGUGGCCUUGGCAUCGAAAGCUUGCUUAUGGUAUCAAGGUAUUACGGUCAAAAGGUUAGAACGGAUUACAUUCGUUAAGGAUGUUGACGUA
rnacentral:rRNA from 1 species